rnacentral:rRNA from 1 species
GACGUAGGGGGCCAGCGUUGUUCGGAAUUACUGGGCGUAAAGGGCGCGUAGGCGGCCUUCUAAGUCAGACGUGAAAUCCCUCGGCUCAACCGAGGAACUGCGUCUGAUACUGGAAGGCUUGAAUCCGGGAGAGGGAUGUGGAAUUCCAGGUGUAGCGGUGAAAUGCGUAGAUAUCUGGAGGAACACCGGUGGCGAAGGCGGCAUCCUGGACCGGUAUUGACGCUGAGGCGCGAAAGCUAGGGGAGCAAACGGG